AUAUAUAUUACGAUUGAUUCUUUUAUUUAUAGUAAGAAUCAAUCGUAAUAUCUUUAAUCAACUUUCAGCUUGUAUAUUUUUAUGAACAAUAUAUUUGUUCCUUAGUUUUAGACUAUUCUUAGUGAAUUAACUGUCCGAGUUUUAGACUAUUAUUAGUGAAUUACCUGUCCAUUGUACUAUUGUAUAAAUUAGUGAAGAAAUCAAUGAAAUAAUUCAAGCUCUCAAACACAUAAUAGCCUUAUUGCACAAUUGUUUUAAGACGAUCUUCUUGCCAUGAAAUUUCUACAGUAGCCAAAGUUAAGGUUUAUUCCAUUGUAUUUUGAAAUAUUCAGAAAUGCAGAAGGAAUAAAACAAUGAAAAUAGUUUUAGUUACACUGGUGACCGGUAUGAGGUAUUAUCAUUUAAAAUCCAAAGGAAAUCUGUUGGAAUGUUUUGAAAUGACAAUUGAUCAUAAAAUCACUGCCCAAAACUCUUCCUAAUUUGUCUGUGCUGCAUGAAUAGAGUAAAUGUAUUAGAAAAAAAUCCGGAAAAGGAGAGAAUAGUUGGGAGAAAGAAAAAUAAUCGUUGGAGACAUGAAAGAUCGAUAAAACAAACAAUUAACAACGGAGAAGAACAAUUAACAACGGCGAAGAAGAGAAGGCAGUGAAGAGAGAAAACAUUAAGGGAAAGAAAAAUACAUUAUUAAAGAAGGAAGAGAGAAAAAUAUUUAUAAAAUUAAUGAUCAUCUCAUCUAAUGAGCAUCACCCUUCAAUGAUUUUUAAAAUUGAUGGUUGCAAGAUUGUGAUUAAAAUUCUGUUCCUUUCAAAAUGAAUUCUUUUGCAUCAGCUACAGUAGCCAUACCGUGCAGGAUUCUGAACGAUGUAUUGAAAAUGAAUUCUGCAGACAUCAAUGCAAAUGGCUAAUAAAUAUAUCUGCUUCAAAAAGAUGAAGUGGAAGUGGAACGUACCUUGAAGUUCGUUAUAACAAAGAUUGGGAUACACAAGUUUCGGGGUUAGACUUUAAAUAUGGGAAAUUUACAAAAAUAGUCAAAAAAAUUAGGCAUUUUUCAACUUUAACCCUUCAAACUUUUUUCUAUCAUAACUAGCCAAACACCCUAUUUUUGGACUACAUUACCCUCAUCAUUUUCAUCAAAUUUACAAAGGCAUGCCACUUUCCCUUAUCAAUUCCAGCACUUCCACCACUUUUCCCUUUUCAACUUAACAAAUUUCAUCACUCAACAAACUCCAUUACUCUCAAUAAAUUAGCAAAUUUCAUCAAACAAGUAUUACAUAAUUGAAGAUAUAAUUAUCAAUUGGAAAGCUUCUUAAGGUUAGUUUAUACUCUUACCAUAACCUAAACUUUUAAUCUAUUGAUUUUAUCAUUUGAGUUCGAAAUUGAUGUGAGUUUUUAUUGCAAAUGUUGUUAUUUUUCAUUAACAAAACAAUGUGACUUGUUAAAGUAGUUAGUUUGAGUUGAGAAAUGAAAAUCAAUAAUUGAAACCCCUGAAAAAUCGAGUAAAACAGAAGCCCAGAACAAGUGAGACAGGCACCUGUCUCACAUAAAUCU
rnacentral:lncRNA from 1 species